rnacentral:rRNA from 1 species
UACGAAGGGGGCUAGCGUUGUUCGGAAUCACUGGGCGUAAAGGGCGCGUAGGCGGCGCGUAAAGUCGGACAUGAAAUCAUUAGGCUCAACCUAAUGGCUGUGUCCGAUACUUACGUGCUUGGAGUGCGGGAGAGGCAGCCGGAAUUCUCGGUGUAGCGGUGAAAUGCGUAGAUAUCGAGAGGAACACCGGUGACGAAGGUGGGUUGCUGGACCGACACUGACGCUGAGGCGCGAAAGCUAGGGGAGCAAACGGG